UGUCAUCGAAUUGGAGAACGCAGCUAAAUGCGCGUCACAAUGUGAACUGCAGGACACAUGAACACCGAUAAGUUGAACGCAUAUUGCGCAUCGUGCGACACAGCUCGAUGUACACAUUUUUGAGUGCCUAUAUUUGACCCAGGUCAAACUACGUACCUCCGGGUACGUGCAUGAUGAUGAAAGAGUUUGGAACACCAUCCUUCUCUUGCAUUGAAAACGCAGCGUGUAGCAACCCCAGGUUUCAACUUGCAAAGUGGCCAUGGGGCUGACACCUCACCACCAUCAGCGUGCUGUGUAGCGUGUUCGGCCCAGUUCGGUCAUCGUGAGGCGUUACCUAACGGGGAGGCACACACUGUUGCGCGUAUCUCAUGGUUACCCAACCAUAGCAGCAGAGAUACAACACCGGCUCCUAGUAGCCCAUGGGCCUCAAAUAAUGAUACUCGACCAUA
rnacentral:rRNA from 1 species